rnacentral:rRNA from 1 species
GGUGCUGCAUGGCUGUCGUCAGCUCGUGUCGUGAGAUGUUCGGUUAAGUCCGCUAACGAGCGCAACCCUCGCUGUGUGUUAUAUGUGUCACACGGGACUGCCGGUCUUAAGCCGGAGGAAGGUGGGGAUGAUGUCAAGUCAGCAUGGUCUUUAUAUCCUGGGCUACACACACGCUACAAUGGCCAACACAAUAGGUUGCUAAGCCGCGAGGUGGCGCCAAUCCAUAAAGUUGGUCUCAGUUCAGAUUGUAGGCUGCAACCCGCCUGCAUGAAGAUGGAGUUGCUAGUAACCGCAGGUCAGCUAUACUGCGGUGAAUACGUUCCCGGGGCUU